CGUGGUUAUAACUUUAAAUUGAAGUUUGUCUGACUUUCAUCUUUGAUGCAGUAGACGUAGACAUGGAGAUCGUCUGCCUCAGAUCUUCCGCCAAGUCACGUUUUGCAACAACAAAGUGUAAAAUGGCGGAGUUAAUUUAUUUUCAAAACAUUGGAUACGUAUCAUAUGAUAGUGACGGGAUUUAUAAAUCAAUGAGAAGAGACUAGUGACAAAAGUCGUGGUUUUGCUGACUAAAGCUGACGGAGUGGGCCCAACUAUUCUAGGAUGAUAUUCAAGGUGCAAGCUUACUAUUUGUGUGUUGACGAACUUCAACGCUUAGAGUUACAUCACCAACGCUUAGAGUUAUGUCAUCCAAGCUUAGAGUUAUCGCAACAUAUUACCAUUUCCUUCCUAUCAGGAAAAGUUUGAAAUUGAUUUGCUGUUUCGAAGAUGCAAUAAAUGAAUCAUGCUGCUUCA